rfam:Otolemur garnettii contig134683, whole genome shotgun sequence.
GUGCCUGUGGCUCAAAAGGGUAGGGCACUGGGCCCAUAUGCCAGAGGUGGCUGGUUCAAACCCAACCCUGGCCCA